GAAGCAAUCACAUCUUUACCAUGAGAUUUACAGGGUGAGUACCAUAUAAGUAAUUACUGCUUCUGUCCCUCUAAUAUGGUGAGACACUAUAAAAAUAUAAAAGCUGAAAAUUAUAUUUCUUAGCUUGUUAUGCUGUUUUGGGUGUAUUCAAAUUUCUAAAAUGCUGAAAAAUCUAAAAAUAGCUAGCCAGUAGAUUAGUUUGCUUAUUUUGGAAGAUUAGAUUUGAUUUGUGAUGAUUUAGGAUGUUAGUUGUGUAACCAUUUACAUUUCCUAGAAUCCAUUUUGCUAUAUAUAUGGAAAUGGACAAAGAGUAGUUACAAAAACAAGAGAAACUUCUAUCAACAGCUUUCUUUUUCUAUGUAUCAACAGAUGUAGUUAUUGUAAACAGAUUUGUCUGCACAUAAGUGGACUUUUUUCUAGGAGAGAGAGGAUCAACAACAACAGAAUGAGGUAAAAUUUAGUAAUCCCUGAGCAAGUUAUUCAGUGUGAAUCUCUAUAAGCUGUAAAAUUCUCAAGUUUCGGCUCUUAAAAACAGCAGCAUGAAAUAGUACUUAGAUCAAAAUAAUAUGUAACAUGUAGUUGUGAAGCAUCCUGUUUAUUUGAUGAAAUGGACGACUAUCCUGUUUAUUUGUAGUUGUGUUUGAUGUCUUAGGCGUUUCCUAGGAUUGGUUCCUUUUGUUUAACUAUCUCUUUUCGAGUUUCGUGCCCUUAGUAUGCGUUUUUGUGCUUUCAAGGGAUGUUUUUUUCUUUUUCUUUUUUAAUAAAUCUCAAUUUCAUCAUCAUGUCGUUGUGAAGCAUGCUAGUUAUUCUGACUGUAAAAAGACGUUCAGAAAAACAGUAAUUCGGAAGCUACACUAAAUUGAAAAAAAAUAAUACUACUAAUAUGUUUUGAAUAAAUACAAAAUGACUCGCACACUCUCGCACAUAUACCCUCUAGGUGACUCGAAUCCCGAUCUAUUGGUUGGAGAUGAAGCGUCUUACCGACUAGAAAAGAAAAGAAAAGAAAAGAAAAGAAAAGAAAAGAUCAUGGGGAUAGAAGCCAAUUUCUGAACUUUCAUAUUGAUCAUAUGUUUUGGAACUUUCAUAUCUUGUAAUCGUAUACCGAUUUGUCUGCUCAUGAGUGAAAUUCUUUUGUAAGAUUGGAGAGAGAGAGAGGAUCAACAGUCAUUGAAUGAAGUUCUAGUAAUCCUUAGAGCAAGUUCUUCACAGUGAAUCUCUAAGCUUUAAAUUCUCAUGUUUUGGUUCAUGAAAACAGCUAAAAUCAAACAAUCAUCAGAUCAAAAUGAUAUGUAAUAUGCCCCUUCGAAGCAUACAAAUUAACGGUAAAAAAAAGUGAGAAAAGAUGAUAGAAACAGAAACCAAUAUGCUGAUCUUUCAUAUUGUUCUUAUCUUCUGAAACUUCCAUGCAGAUAGUGAAAAUAUUGGUGUAUCCUUCCAGCCAACAAUGAGGGUGUUCCCAUUAAGGCCAAGUUUGCAAGAAUCGCGACAGUCGAACUUGUUAAGCACAGAAUUCGCAUGAUUGAGGGCUAGUUUGCUCAGUUCUGUCUCCUCCAUGCCAAACCUUGCAAAAGUCUCCCUCCAGAAAUUGAUGCCUACAAAUCUGAACUUCCUCUCCUCUUCCUCAGCUGCAACAAUGUGUCUUAUCGAAGGGCUAUAGAGUUUGGAUUCGACGUACGCUCUCGCUGCGAGAUCAUCCUUCAGACAAUACUGCAAGUAGUCAAAACCAGCGCCGAAGUAAAAGAGAGCUUCAACAAAGCGGUUGACAAAAAUUGGAGAAUCAACAUUAGCUUCGACUUCAGUGAUGAUCAUCACGUGAGGGUCGAUGCUUCUGAUGACUGUCAUCAAGUUUUCAAGCUUUGGAAUCAUAAACCUCAAGGCGUGUGCUGCUUGAACGACGACUGUUUCUUCAGGAUCUAGGCGAAGCACACUCUGCUGAAGACUCAGGAUAUCCUCGAAGCUGAUCACGUGGAAAGAGAAGCUCAGAUUCAAGGACUUGGCCAAGUUUUCUAGUCGAGCACCUGCUUCCUCCUCGGUCAGAAGAUUCGACUGAGUUGCUACAGCAGUAAUCUUGAGAUGCUGAAGGGGACGUUCAGAGCUAGUAGCUAGAGCUUGCAUUAAGAUGGAGUGUCUUAGACCACCGUAGAGUCCAAAAUCGACAACAUGUACUUUUCUACGCGAUGAUAAGUGAUCUAGUACCGCUUGAACACCGGCAAACUGCAUAACCUGGUUGAAAGGUAAUUUUUCGAUUAAGGAAGCUGUGGCUGAGAUUGGAGGUAUGAGUUGUAGUGGCCUAGUAUUCACUGAUCCUCGUGUCUCAAUCUCGAUCUUGUCACGAAGAGAUUCAGCAAAGCAGUACACCAGACGUUGCAUCACAUUCAUCGAGCCAUAGCUCAGCUUGCUGAACUCCUUGAGGAGUUCACUUGCACAAGCAUAGCGGUGAUUGCACACUGCCCGAGCACACGACAGGAGAUCCUGCACGAGCCGAAUAUCUUCAGACUCGCCUCUGGAGAGGCUUGAAAAGGGGAUUUUAUACUGAUGGAUGACAGCAGAGAGAUGGAAAUCAUUUCCAUUUUCAGAAUUGGAAUGGAUGAAGCUCCUCACGGCCAGCUUGAUCAGCUGACUAACCGACAGCAACGUUGGAGGGGAUGCCCGUUGGCUUUGUCUCUUUCCCUCAUCUCUCUCUAAUCCGCCAUCUGCUGCACCAGCUCUGCUUCUGUAGUUUCUCAGAAUCUCCAUGGCUGCGGAAGGAAAUGGAUACGGCCUCUUCUCUUCGUUUGGCUGCCAAUCUUGAGCCUCGUUGCUGGAAGGCGUCGCGAAAAAGCCAUCCCUACAAGCUUGAAAUGGUGGAGAAGCUUUGUCAAGAUACAGAUCAUCAAGAGCUCCAAAAUGAGCCAGGAUUUGUAGCUCUUCGUAAAAGAGCAGAUCAGACUCACAGAAGCUCUUGUCUUCUUGAAAGUAGUUGAGUUCACACUGGUAAGGAACGUCUUCCACUGAAUCUUGCAUAUAAUUUUCUCUCUCAAAACCCUUGCUAGAACUAGACAUUUUUGUGACUUGAACAACUGUUUGAGAUAUUUGAAUUGUUUUU
rnacentral:lncRNA from 1 species